rnacentral:lncRNA from 1 species
UUAGAACCCUUAACCAACAUUAAGAAGUCUAGCUACACUCCUGGAGUCCAGCUAACAUGGAGAAACCAUACAGAGAGGCCACAUGGAGCGGUGGGGACAUGAGAAUGUGCAGGGAGGGAGAGGAGUCCAGCUGCCUCAUAAUCCUACCGGAGCCCAGGCAUCAGCCAUCUCUGCCAACCUGCAGCACGAGUGAGGACGCGAGUGUGCCACCUGGCAAGUGGAUCCUCUGGCCCCAGUCAAGGAGCUGCAGCUGAUGGUGCAUGGAGCAGAGAGAAACUGCCCUGCUGAGCCCUGCCAAAAUCAUAAAAUUGACUCUAUGCUCCACUCCAG